rnacentral:tRNA from 1 species
AACAUAGCUCAGUGGAAGAGCGGCGGCCUUAUAAGCCGUGUGGCGAUGGUUCGAUUCCAUCUGUU